GGCCUUCCGGGUAACGUACUGAGGACAGGUGCUGCAUGGCUGUCGUCAGCUCGUGUUGUGAAAUGUUGGGUUAAGUCCCGCAACGAGCGCAACCCUUUAUCCUUUGUUGCCAGCGAUUCGGUCGGGAACUCAAAGGAGACUGCCAGUGAUAAACUGGAGGAAGGUGGGGAUGACGUCAAGUCAUCAUGGCCCUUACGAGUAGGGCUACACACGUGCUACAAUGGCGCAUACAAAGAGAAGCGACCUCGCGAGAGCAAGCGGACCUCAUAAAGUGCGUCGUAGUCCGGAUUGGAGUCUGCAACUCGACUCCAUGAAGUCGGAAUCGCUAGUAAUCGUAGAUCAGAAUGCUACGGUGAAUACGUUCCCGGGCCUUGUACACACCGCCCGUCACACCAUGGGAGUGGGUUGCAAAAGAAGUAGGUAGCUUAACUUUCGGGAGGGCGCUUACCACUUUGUGAUUCAUGACUGGGGUGAAGUCGUAACAAGGUAAGCGUAGUGCU
rnacentral:rRNA from 1 species